AGAGUUUGAUCAUGGCUCAGGGUUAACGCUGGCGGCGCGCAUAACACAUGCAAGUCGAGCGAGGGCUUAUCUCCCGCAAGGGAGGCAAGUUCCUAGCGGCGAACGGGUGAGUAACACGUGGGCAACCUUUCCUAUCGCGGGGGAUAACACCGGGAAACCGAUGCUAAUACCGCAUGUCGUCACCGGUCGCAUGGCCGGUGAAGAAAGCAGCAAUGCACGAUGGGGUGGGCCCGCGGCCUAUCAGCUAGUCGGUGGGGUAACGGCCUACUGAGGCGAUGACGGGUAGCUGGUCUGAGAGGACGACCAGCCACACGGGGACUGAGACACGGCCCCGACUCCUACGGGAGGCAGCAGUGAGGAAUCUUCCGCAAUGGGCGAAAGCCUGACGGAGCGACGCCGCGUGUGGGAUGAAGUCUUUCGGGAUGUAAACCACUGUCGGAGGGGAAGACAUCGACGGUACCCUCCAAGAAAGCCCCGGCUAACUACGUGCCAGCAGCCGCGGUAAUACGUAGGGGGCGAGCGUUAUCCAGAUUUACUGGGCGUAAAGCGCGUGUAGGCGGCUGGUUAAGUGUGAUGUGAAAUCUUCGGGCUCAGCCCGAAAACUGCAUUGCAAACUGGCCUGGCUAGAGUGCAGGAGAGGGAAGCGGAAUUCCAGGUGUAGCGGUGAAAUGCGUAGAUAUCUGCAGGAACACCCGUGGCGAAGGCGGCUGACUGGAUCGCAACUGACACUGAGGAACGAAAGCUAGGGGAGCAAACAGGAUUAGAUACCCUAGUAGUCC
rnacentral:rRNA from 1 species